GCUCACCGGACCACCCUCUUCAGGCUCUGUCUCUACCAUGGAAUCCACUGCCAAGGAGGGGAGAGUCUGCCCCACCCUGGCAAUUCUCUUCACCCACCCUGGAAUGUAUGGAGAAGCAAUUGAACCACCUCUGCCUUCCUCUUUCACACACCUUGUCCCUAAGCAUUC
rnacentral:lncRNA from 1 species